CCGCGAGUCCGCGACCCCUUCCCCGGCCCACGCGCGGCUGCGAGCCUGCAACCUCCGUCCCCCUCUCCCUGCGCCUUCUCCCCUAACCCUAUCCGCCGUCGCUCCCGCUCUAGCGCCGCCGUCGCAAUCACCUUCUCCCCCAAUCGUAUCUGCCGCUGCUUCCGCUCUCCACCUUCACACAGUCGACCGACGUCAGUAGUCCGCUAUCGAUGCAGCGUCUGGCGUUUGGAUCUGCUCGUCUCCGCCGCCGGUUACGCCGCCUCUCCGUCGAUCUCCUACGUGGUCCCGUUUGCUCCAUAGCGGACUCCGCCUGCAAGUCCGCCGGCCAUCGCAUGAUCCUGACGGCAGCUAGAUCCAGUACCCUGUCCACCCGUCUCUCCUUCAUCACCGAGGGACAUCACAAUCUAGAAAAGAUCAUUUCGGUACAUGAUAACUAUUGCUCCUCGAAGACUGGGUCGCCGUUGAAGGCUUUCAAUUUUGGCAAGUUCUGAAUUCGAGCUCCUCGAAUACUGGGUCGCCGUUGAAGGCUUUCAAUUUUGGCAAGUUCUGAAUUCGAGCUCGAUGACCGGGUCCUUGUUGAAGGCUUUCAAUUUUGGCAUGUUCUGAAUUCGAGCAUGGGAGUGCAACCAUGAUCAUUCGCAUGACCUGUCACUGACUCACUGUCACUUAACCUGGUGAGCACUGUAUAUACUAUUUUGGUAGCGGCAUAUAUGGUGGAAUAUUUAUAACCUUUUUCAUAAACUCUCUCGUGGUAAAUUGGUAGGACUUCACUCCAUAUAUUUCCUGACAAUUGUUGCUCAUUUACAGUAUAACAAAUAUGCUGAAACUAUUUCCUGUAAAAGGGACAACAGAAGAAUUAAUGUAGCUGCAAGAAAAAACAAAUUAUUAGCCUCUGCUGCUUUGUGACCGGGUUAUGUGUUAACUAUUGUAUCUUUGUUUGGAGUUGAUUAGUCUUAAGAUCUUUUAAGCGAACAAUUCUAUUUUUCUAUAGCAACUGGGUGCAAUUUUUUCAGUCACAUUUUACAAUUUGAUGCAGUGGAUGCAUGGAUGGGCCAACGGUUGUCUUGUCAGAUAGAUCCUAUGGGACUGCCCCUAUGCUCAUCUUCCUCCAUCUGUGGAGCGACAAGUACCUUUGCUAUAUUCCUUUUUUAGAUUUACAAAUCAAUUCCUAAAAAAAGAACUUCAGUACACAAAUGGUCUCUCUGAACCAUGAAUUUUUCUUCAGUUAAAAAUGGAAUAGAUAUACUACGUGAAGAAAUCAUGCUUAUAAAUCUCUAAUCUCUCCCUUGUAUGGCUGAAUGAUUGAUUUGUUUUGAAAGGCAUUGCGAUAAUUAUUGUAUAUUUGCACUGUGGUAGAUUCAUAAUCCAUACUUAUUUUCUGAACAUGUUCACAUUGGACUACUUUUUGGAUGUUUAGUAUAGUGCAUGCUGCCAUGUACCAGCAGGCAUGUGGAGAAGCAUUUGUCUUCAUAACUUGCAAAUAUGUGAAAUAUCAAUUGAGGGGUAGUGGAGCGUAUAUAGAAAUUGAGGGGUAGUGAAAUAUGUUUUUGCAGGAAUUUAGCAAAUGUUCUCUUUAACAACUGAAACUCAUUUGUUGGGGGUUGACUGGGUGUAAUGCAACUGAACGAAUCUAGACAAAUAUAUUGAUUUUCCGGAAACUGUUUUUCAUCAAAAUAUUACGUUGCAUUGUCCAUAUUACCUUGAUAGUGUCAUGUUGCUCAACCAAAUUACCAUGUUUACGCCUUUUCUUUUUACCUGAUGUUCUGCUUAUUUUGCUCUAUGGUAGUGAUUAUAUGCAACUACGCCAGUCCUGUCCUCUGCUUUACAUUAUUCAUAUUACUAGAGAUUACUAGACUGUUUAUGUUUCCAAAGAGCAGCAGCGUGCGAAUAGAGAUAUUUAGGUAUAUGAUCUUUGUAUCAUAUAUUCAUGUAUCAUGUAUUCAGUAGUUAAUAUUGUGGCAAACUCUUAGGCUGAAUCUGGGCCUGCUUGAAAGCUUGGUCCAUAGAUCAGAAAGGGUUUUUUUGGACCCACGAAAAAUACAAGUGUAAUAUACUUACCUGUGUAAAGAAUUUUGAUGCUGUCAAUCUAGAAAAAUAGAUACUCUUAAGUAACCAAUACAGACCCACUAACAGGGUGGAUACCAGGGUGACGGUCGCCUCAGAUUCGGAGCUGAGGGAAUGGUGUAGGAGGAAGCGGAUGGAUCGAGCUGCUACACCCCCGCACUUCGCUGUCUCGAUGUGCCCCGUCAUUGGCCGCUUCGCCAUGGCGGCGGGGUGACGAGAUUCUUAAGUGUAUCACGAAUACUCAAAGUUAUAUUCUAUAUUGUACCGAUUACCGAAUAUUUUUUUUAUUUCUCUAUGACCACAACAAAUUAAUGGAAUAAUUCUCUACCAUUUUUGUCUUAUUUA